AAUUUUGUGUUUAAACAGUUGUUACAUUGUGUAUAAAUGUAUUUAUACUGAGUUUACUCAUUUCCUGACAUCACUCAUAUUCAUUUCUACAUUGUUCUGACUACAGCUUCCAGUUCCACCACCAUCACAAAUCUGUUCGCGUGGCUCAAACCAAGACUUUCCAGUUUAUCAGGUCUACGUCUUCACAUUCGUCCUGUCCUUGUUGUUCCUCCAAAUGGACCUCAGGGAUAAGUGACCACCAGCCGCCAAAUGCUGUUCAGAUUUUGGUGUGUUCACAUCAUUUGGGCAGAUGAAGUUGGCCAGUUCAGCCUCAUCUCAACAAACAUUUAUCAAAAUGCUUGAAGAUCGAGCCUUCAGCACAGGGACGGUGAGAACUCAUUUCAAUUUUUUUUCCUAACUUUCAAGCCUGACCAAAAUGUUGUUUUAUUUGUUGGAUGGAUAUCAUCCAAAAUAAUAAGGUUCAUAAUCACACAUAAUUGGCACGCAACUGAUAAUAAACGCCAUCAUGAUUCAUGACUUGGAAGGUAACAGUAAUAACAAUCUUUUUUUAUAGAUCACUUUUCAAACAAAUGUCAAGAGUGGAUUUAAACCAAGUCAGAGCAUGAAAUUAACCAUGCAAUUAAAAAAAAACAUACUAGAACUAUAUAAAAGACUCAAUCAAAAAUGAAUAAAAACUCUGAUAAAAAUGUGUUUCAAAAAAAGACUUUAAAGAGAGUAGAGAAUCGGUCUACCUGACAUCUGCUGGCAGAGGGAUGUCAGAUGUUCCAGAGAUUCAGGGCCUGAAUUGAAAACGCUCUGUCCCUCUUUGGGUUCAGCUGAGCCUCCAAGCCUCUGGAACAUGUAAAAAGUCUCAGUCUGGAGAUUACAAGAUGCAACCUGGAGUGUAAGGAAUGAAAAUAUAGCUGGAACUCAGACUGCUGAAUGCUAUAAAAGUGAAUAACGCAUGACUGUAAAACAUGAUGUUAAUACUUUAAUAAUUAGUGUCAUUUAAGUUGGAAUUGGUGUGUCACAUGUUCCACCGAUUUGAAGAUGUAACUUUUACACUGUAUAACAAUAUAGGUUUCCACACACGUUGCUGGACAGCACGAAGGUUUGAGUGAUUGUCCGCAUGAAUUAUAUUGUCAGGCUAUUUGUUCUAUUUUAACAGGACAGAUGAAUCACUUUUUGAUGGACUGUUCAUCACACAGGAUCCCAAAGUGUCUGCCGUUACAUUUUUGCAUUUUUGUGGCUCUCCUGCUGUAUGACAGGUUGGCUGUAACUGCUCUCAGUCAUGGCAUGUCUCCUUUCUACAAUAAGCUAUCACAAAUACUUGCAAUUUCACCAAUAGGCUACAGGUAUUGGCCAUAUUAGCAGAAGGCGGCAGAGAAGGUCCCUGAGCUACAUCCACUGGCAGAGAUGAAGCCUUUUCUCUCUGAGAUGCAUGCCAAGGCUCACACAGGCAAAUGUGAGGUGCAGUGACAAGUUAAAUGUUUGUGUCGCAAUUUGUUUUUUAGGAACUCUGGGAAGCUGCAGGAAAUACCACUGGAGAGGAGGUGGAAAAAGUCGACAGCUUCCUCUCCAGGGCAGCUCUGACGAACAAGUCAGGCACAGCAUCAGAUUAGAAAAUAGAAUUAAAUAUGUUUUAUGUUGUAAUAAUGUAUUAAUUGAAUUUUGAUUUGUUUGUGAAAUUGUUCUGCUGAUGCUCUGAUCUGAUGCAGUUGCAGAAAACUGGAGGGAAGAGCUACAGAGAACAAGUUUCACUAAAGUUUGAAGUAUUUUAUUAUUUUUCACAAUGAAUGUUUAUUUUUUUGCACCAUCUCAAAAAAUUGGACACUGCAAUAAUUGGCAGGAUUAUUUAUUGUUUCGAAAUAGAUGACAAAGUGAGCUGAAGUGGAAGCAGCAAAUCCUGGCUGAGUCCCUCAAGCAAGACCUCAACAUCUCUCUGGAAGAGACACAACAGUGGGUGGAAGAUGUCAAACAAUGGGCAGUGACUGGAACACAAUACAAUCCCUUGUGAAUUAAUUUGAUAAUGUCGUGUCACACAUUUGGCUAUGACAUUGCUUCUUGUGUAUGUGGUGGUGGGGCGAGGUCAAGCUCGCAUGUAAGGAAGAGAGUGAAGCGGCUCAGGGAAAAGUGCUGGAGAGAAAUAACGAGGAGCACCUGUGUCUAAUAACCAUUGAUUAUCUCUCCCCCUCUCUCCCCCAGAGGCUGGCUGGGUUUAAAAAGGGGGAUACGCACUAAAAAGGAGUCGCUCCAUGAAGGAAGCAGAGGUUUUGUGUGCUGUCUAGUCUAGAGGGAUACCUGAAAUGGCGCUCCUUGUGUUUUGAUGCAGAGCGGAUCCAAUAAAAGUAACCAAACAAAAGGAGACAUAAGAAGAGGAUCUGAGUGCAAUCUCUCUGGAGUUCUACCUCUGGACGAGCAGGGAGACGGCGACGGUUUGCCAAUGUCAUGCUUGUCAGACGAAGAGGAGAAAGUAAUCCUUGUGAAGAAGAUGACUCAGCAGUCAGCAUGACCAAUAUCUGACAGACUGGACAACCUCCUUCACAAAACUGAAGAGGACAUCAAAAAUCACACUCAUUUUCCUGGAAAUUGUACAACCUUUUUUUUACUGACCCAGUUGUGAUAUUUUCACAAUUAUGUACAUCCUCUGAAUAAUGUAUUCAAAAUAUUUUUUUUUAGCUUCAGUGUUGCCUAUUUUUAGUUUAACUAAACCGUUUAUCAUGUUUCACUUUAGCACCAUCUACAGGUAUGACAGAGGAGGGAUACAGGGGGCUGCAGUGCUGUCCUCUGCAGAAGCAACAGUCUUCUGGAGAAAGUGAACUCUGUCACUGCCACCUAUCGAUGUUUUGAAAUGGACUCAUCUUUCCUCCAGUUUCAGGAAGACAAAGGAUUCUGAAGAGAGUGAGCCGAGAGUGAGCAGGAUGACAGCACUCUGGAGCUUUCAGAGGAAGAUAUGUAAGCUGAAUGUCUUUACAUGGUAGCGUUUGAUGUGUUGGCACAUUUGUGCAGUGCAAGCUACCAUGAAUGGCAAAUGGUGAAUGAAUUUCAUUUAUAUAGCACUGUUGCAGCGUACACCGUCAGUCACAUUCACCCACCGACAGCAGCAGUUUGGAGUGACAUUGGGUUGCCAGUGGAGGCGUCUUAAUCCAUCCACUGGGAGCAGUUUGAGGUUGGGUGUCUUGCUCAAGGACACGUUGACAUGUAGAGAUGGGAGACUGAACCAAGAACCUGGUUGCUUGAUGACCACUCUGCUGGUUGAGUCACAGUCAGAAACGUCAUAGUACAGCGGCAGUUUGGACAGUGGUGGCAGAUGUAAAUAGACCACUUUGUACAUGUACUCUUUUUAAAAGUUCUCAACUCCAUCUUCAUUGUCAGAAAAUGUACUUUUGUAGAAAUGUGAAAGAAUCUUUUGUUCAGUAAAAUCCAGUAUUCCUACAAUGUUUUUUUAUUUUUGUACUGCUGUAUUGAUAUUUAUAAUUACAAGUGUUGCUUGACUACCUUACUGCUUUGAAUUUGUUGUUGACAUCCAUUACACAACUGAAAUAUCUUUUUUUUUUUUUUCUUUCUGAAGUGCGGCUGUCUUUGACCACAUCUUUAUUCAGAUAAAAUGUUUUAAUAUGAUUGGGUGGUAUGCUGACUUAGCCUGUGCCACAUUUUAUUAGUUGCAUCGUCCAAUGAAAUGCAUUCAGAUUUAGCCGGUGUAUGUAUCUGCUGGAUUACACACAUGCGUCGUAUUCAUGAAGUGCGACAUGAAGUUUUCUUUUUGAGGUUUGCCUUUGAUCUGCUCAGUGGAAUUUCAGAGCUGACAUCUCAUGUUAACGCUUGGUUCUUUGUUCAUCUUCAAUUUGUCAUGAAUGUAAAAAUCAAUUUCCACUUAAGAAAACAACAAAGGUGGAGCUCCAGACUAAAGUCUAACCCUAAUGAUACUGUAGUUCCACUUCUCUUGAUAUCCUCUCACUUCAUACAAAGCAUUCCUGCUGUGCCCUCCUCAACUGUCAAUU